GGGUAGGUACCGAAGUGGUCAAACGGGGCAGACUGUAAAUCUGCUGGCUUACGCCUACGAAGGUUCGAACCCUUCCCUGCCCACCA
rnacentral:tRNA from 1 species